AUUGAACGCUGGCGGCAGGCCUAACACAUGCAAGUCGAGCGGCAGCGGGACCUUCGGGUUGCCGGCGAGCGGAGGACGGGUGAGUAAUGCCCAGGAAUCUGCCUGGUAGUGGGGGAUAACGCGGGGAAACUCGCGCUAAUACCGCAUACGUCCUACGGGAGAAAGUGGGGGACCUUCGGGCCUCACGCUAACAGAUGAGCCUAGGUCGGCUUAGCUAGUUGGUUGGGUAACGGCCCACCAAGGCGACGAUCCGUAACUGGUCUGAGAGGAUGAUCAGUCACACUGGAACUGAGACACGGGCCAGACUCCUACGGGAGGCAGCAGUGGGGAAUAUUGGACGAUGGGCGAAAGCCUGAUCCAGCCAUGCCGCGUGUGUGAAGAAGGUCUUCGGAUUGUAAAGCACUUUAAGCCGGGAGGAAGGGCUGUAGGCGAAUACCCUGCAGUCUUGACGUUACCGGCAGAAUAAGCACCGGCUAACUUCGUGCCAGCCGCCGCCGUAAGAC
rnacentral:rRNA from 1 species